rnacentral:lncRNA from 1 species
CUCCCUGCUGCAGCCAAGGGGGCUGGGGCUGCGGUUGUGAGGCCGCCGGAGAGCCGGCGGCCCCUGCCCGGGUGGAGCUCGGGGAGGGUCAGUGCCGCGCUAAUGGCAGUUCAUGGCAGUAAGCGCGCACCGCCUUGUCGCGAGGACAGCACAGACGUCCGACCUGAAAAGCCCGAUCCUCAGGCAGGAAUUUGAGAGCAAGCAGCUUAUUUGGAAAAUGACCCCAGGCAGCCACAGGUCGAGCAGUGGGAAAGUAAGGAAGCCAAAGUACAGGAAAGCAAGACCCUCCAGGGCAAGGACUGACUUUGAUUUCCCACAGACCUGUGUGUCCAAGGGAGAGCUCCACGUGGGUGUCUCACAACACAUCACCAUGUCCAAAGCCGAAAUCUCCUGAAGCACCGCGGCUCUUGCAUAUGGUUCAGCAUCUUGCUUUGGAAGACAAUUCAGGAAGUAGAAUCCACAGGACUUGAUGGUUGAGGGCAAGGAAGAAGGCAUCGGGAGGACUAUGUGGACUUGUAGAUGGUGUCCAGAUAUCCAGCUGGACAAAGAGACAGCAGGAUUACGCAGAGGUGGAAGAAACACAAAACAAAAGGUAUAGAUCCUGGGGAGCGGGGGUUGGAGUGAACCAAGACUACUGCGCCUGCGGGUCAUGUGGGUAGCAUCUCGUCUACAUGCAGCUGAUGGAUUCACCCUCGGGUAACACCUUUCUCCUCCUAUUUUUGUGCCUACUCUCUAGGGGUCUCCUUUUGGCCUUCAGGGUACCUGGGAAGCUAGAUUAGUGAUCAGUACGUGGCAAGAUAAACAGAGAACAUCUCAAAGGAGUUAGAUGACCCUGUGAGGCAUUUCCUUCUGACUGUGGAGAAGCCAGUGUGGUAGCCAAGGAGCAAUGGCCAGGCUCUGGGCACUGCUAAUCACCUUACAUUGCAUUUUCAUUCUCCAUCCCUUUUGAAAAGGAUAACUACAAACAACUAAAGCAUGUUGAGUACUUUCCAUAUGCUAGGCACUGUAAUAAGCAUUGUUCAUAAAUUAUGAUGUUUACUUUUCACAACAAUAAAGAAAGUCUAAUCAAGAAAUCCAGGAGUUCCCUGGUGGCCUAGUGGUUAAGGAGUCACUGCUGUGGCACAGGUUCAAUCCCCAGCCCAAGAACAUCUGCAUGCUGUAGGCAUAAGCAAAAAAAAAAAAAAAAAAAAAAAAAAAAAAAGAAAAA